ACUAAGUUAAAGGUAGACAGCCACAGUGCAGCACAGGCUAACAGUGACAGUCCCAUUUAACAUUAAAGCAGGUGAGAAGGUGGAGAAGGUGGAGCAGUACACACACACACACACACACACACACACACACACAGUGUCAGGUAAACAAGCAGACGGCUGCGGCACGGCUCAGACAACAAUCUAUUAAAGGGCCUUUAUCCUCUGCUCUACACACACACACACACACACACACACACACACACACAGAGAGGAAACAAGAGGGUUGUCCAACCAACUCAGCUUCAAGUGAAACACUGUCAGCACUCAGGUGGAAGAAGAAAUUUACACUUCUGUCAGAAAAAAUGGAGCAACGCAAAAUCUUUGUAGUCCUGAUGUCUACAGUUCUUCCGUCCAUCUAUGUGCCAUUUUUAUUUACUGCACACGCUCAUUCCAACACACGUGCAAUUGUGUUCAUGUUUCCUUGUCCCCAUGACGUUUGCGUUUGAACGUCACGUCCUGUUUUUGGUCCCACUUUGUAUAUUUGGUGGAGGUUUGCUUUCUUACAACAGUGUUUCUCAAAUGGGGGUAUGUGAUGGCACUACAGGGGUACUUUAGAGAGAGAGAGAAAAAUUUAUAAAUUGAAAAAUUAAAAAUAUGCAGUUUUUUAUUAUGUUUAUUUUUAGUUAAAAAUGAUAAUCACACCGAAUGUGACCAGCAACUUACAAAACGACAACAAAAACACACAAAAUAGGAGAAAAAUAUACUGAAUAAUAAAAACAAUAGACAAACAACA
rnacentral:lncRNA from 1 species